GAUGAACGCUGGCGGCGUGCCUAAUACAUGCAAGUCGAGCGAACAGACGAGGAGCUUGCUCCUCUGACGUUAGCGGCGGACGGGUGAGUAACACGUGGAUAACCUACCUAUAAGACUGGGAUAACUUCGGGAAACCGGAGCUAAUACCGGAUAAUAUAUUGAACCGCAUGGUUCAAUAGUGAAAGACGGUUUUGCUGUCACUUAUAGAUGGAUCCGCGCCGCACUAGCUAGUUGGUAAGGUAACGGCUUACCAAGGCAACGAUGCGUAGCCGACCUGAGAGGGUGAUCGGCCACAAUGGAACUGAGACACGGUCCAGACUCCUACGGGAGGCAGCAGUAGGGAAUCUUCCGCAAUGGGCGAAAGCUUGACGGAGCAACGCCGCGUGAGUGAUGAAGGUCUUCGGAUCGUAAAACUCUGUUAUUAGGGAAGAACAAAUGUGUAAGUAACUAUGCACGUCUUGACGGUACCUAAGCAGAAAGCCACGGCUAACUACGU
rnacentral:rRNA from 1 species